GCGUCUUAUAUUUUGGAGUGUCUUAUACUCUGAAUAAUACAGUAUUUUCUUGUUAUGCUUUUACAAUUAACUAAUUUUCCCCAUAAAAUUCUAACAAGUUUUCUUCAACUCUUAUUACAUAUUUAUAUAGGAAAUUACACAAACUAUUUCUAUCAAAGGAAUUAAGUUUGAACCAGGCCCACCAGAAUUUAAAGAACUGCACGUUGCUUGGCAUGAUUUGUCCCAUUACCUGAAGUUAAAUUUGAUUGCUGGCCGUCCUGCUAAAUUGUGUCUUCUGGAUUGGAUAGAACCAGACAAAGCUAUAUCUGUAAUUAAUGGCAAAGAAUUACCACAGGCUCUUAUAAUCCAGCUCUGUGAUCAGUGGAAUAAUCCAUCUGAUGAACCUAAUGUCAAAAUCAAACUUGUAAAAGAUAAUAAAAUAGAGAUUGUUCCUUCAAAUAUGCUGUAUCAAACAAAUGUAACUGGUAGAGCAACCUUUGGAGUUCUUACUAUUCAUGCUCCUCAAGGAGAGUACAACUUGCAUUUCGAGGCCUCUUAUAAUGGGAAAGAACUAAGAAGUCCAGUGAUCAUAAUAAAUGUUUGGCCUGACCCAGAGAAACCUGUAGAUUUUAAUAUUAAAUAUGAUGAGAGUGCUAUCUUCACCGCUGGAAACACUUUUCCUGGUUAUAAAAUGGCAGUUACUCUAUA